rnacentral:rRNA from 1 species
UACGUAGGGUGCAAGCGUUGUCCGGAUUUAUUGGGCGUAAAGAGCUCGUAGGCGGUCUGUCGCGUCGGAUGUGAAAACCCAGGGCUCAACCCUGGGCCUGCAUUCGAUACGGGCAGACUAGAGUACGGCAGGGGAGACUGGAAUUCCUGGUGUAGCGGUGAAAUGCGCAGAUAUCAGGAGGAACACCGGUGGCGAAGGCGGGUCUCUGGGCCGAAACUGACGCUGAGGAGCGAAAGUGUGGGGAGCAAACAGG